GUUAUUCGUCACAAUUCAGUUGGAAUUUUGACGAGCCGGUCCUGUUUUUCCAGCCGAAGAUAAACAAAAAAUAAGAUGUAUCAAAGAGUUUUGGGAACUGUCGCUCUUAUCUUAGUCAUAUUCAGAUUGAUCGUUGAAGCUUCUCAUGAUGGACUGGAUUCAGAUAACAGCUACGAUGCCUACGAUACUUACCUAGUAAAUCCUGAUUCUUAAAAUUAUGAAUAAAUUUUUCUUUU